GGUCACGAGUGUCAGUAGUAAUGCCCCGGCUUACUGACCGGCAACCCUCCACCGCGGUGGGGUGCCCCGGGUGAGGACCAGGUCUCAAGAACAAAUAGAGACAAGCGCGGGU
rnacentral:ncRNA from 1 species